rnacentral:rRNA from 1 species
UACAGAGGGGGCUAGCGUUAUUCGGAAUUACUGGGCGUAAAGGGCUCGUAGGUGGCCAACUAAGUCAGACGUGAAAUCCCUCGGCUUAACCGGGGAACUGCGUCUGAUACUGGAUGGCUUGAGGUUGGGAGAGGGAUGCGGAAUUCCAGGUGUAGCGGUGAAAUGCGUAGAUAUCUGGAGGAACACCGGUGGCGAAGGCGGCAUCCUGGACCAAUUCUGACACUGAGGAGCGAAAGCCAGGGGAGCAAACGGG